CCCAGGCCGGACCGGUACGUACCGGCCCGUACCGGCCGGUACAGACCGGCACUGCAGACCAUGAUUAGUAGCGAUGUGGAGUUCGAUGAAGAAGAUUCAUGGGAUUGGAGUAAUGAAGAUAAGGAGAGGUAUGAUUUCUUUCCAUUCCUUGAUGAAGAGGAGCAAAAAAGUAAAGUUCAAGAGCCCACAACACCUUCUCAAUCACUAACAACUCUUAAUUCACCUUCUUCAUCUUCUAGUGGAAGCUCUAGUGAAAGGCAACCACGAAUGAGGAGUCUUCAAGAUCUUUAUGAGGUAAUGAAAAAUCUAAAUGGUGAUCUAACUCGUUUUUGUCACUUUGCCGAUUGUGAGCCCAUAGUUUUUGAAGAAGCGGUAAAAGAUGAGAAGUGGAGAAUUGCCACUGGAUGAGGAGAUCAAGUCAAUUGAGAAGAAUGACUCUUGAGUGUUGGCAACCAUGCCGGAAGGUCAAAAGCCCAUUAGUGCGAAGUGGGUUUUCAAAGAAAAAAAAAGAGUACUAAUGGUGAAGUCGAGAGAUACAAGGCAAGGUUGGUAGCCAAGGGAUAUAGCCAACGUCCCGGAAUUGACUAUGGUGAAGUGUUUGCUCCCGUUGCACGGUUGAAGACCAUCCGAAUGAUAAUCUCACUUGCGGCUUAAAAGAAGUGGAAGAUUUAUCAAAUGGAUGUCGAAUUGGAUUCUUGAAUGGCAUUCUUGAGAAAGAGGUUUAUGCUGAACAACUUUUGGGCUAUGUGAUCAAAGGCCAUGAAGACAAAGUAUUGAAGUUGAAGAAAGCCUUGUAUGGUUUGAAGCAAGCGCCAAGGGCUUGGAAUAGUCGAAUUGACAAGUAUUUUCAAGAGAACGGGUUUACCAAGUGCCCACAUGAGUAUGCUCUCUAUGCUAAGAUGCGUGAAAAUAGAGAUAUUUUACUUGUUUGGUUAUAUGUUUAUGAUUUGAUUUUUACGGACAAUAAUACAAGUAUAUUUAAACAAGCUAUGACGAGAGAGUUUGAAAUGAUGGAUAUUGAUCUCAUGUCUUAUUAUCUUGGCAUUGAGAUCAAGCAAAUGGAGGAUGGAAUUUUUAUUCCUAAGAAGGUUUUGCCAAGGAGAUUCUUAAGAGAUUCAAGACGGAAGAUUAUCAAUCCGUGAGUACUCUGGUGGAAUGCGAAGCCAAAUUGUCUAAACAUGAAGAAGGAGAGAAGGUACACUCUACAAUCUUCAAGAGUCUAGUUGGAAGUUUGAGAAACCUAACUUGCACGAAACCGAAUAUACUUUUUGGAGUUGGGUUUAUUAGUCGGUUUAUAGAGUCACCAAGCAUGACAAAUUUCAAAGCAGCGAAACGAAUUUUUCGUUAUAUCAAAAGUACAAUUGGUUUUGGCUUGCUUUAUUCAUUUUCUAAUGAAUUUAAGCUUGUGGGCUAUAGUGAUAGUGAUUGGGCCCGAGAUAUGGAUGACCAGAAGAGCAUUGCUGGCUUUGUUUUCUACUUGGAAAAUACAGAUUUUAUUUGGAGUUUGAAGAAGCAACCAGUUGUGACACUUUCUACUUGUAAAGUUGAAUAUGAUGCUGCUACAUCUUGUGUUUGUUAUGUCAUAUGGUUAAGAAAAUUGUUGGAGUUACAAAUGCCACAAGAGGAGGCUAUGGAGAUUUUUGUUGACAACAAGUCGGCCAUUGCAUUGCCGAAGAAUCCGGUUUUCCAUGAUAGAAGCAAGCAUAUAGAUACGAGGUAUCAUUUUCUUAAAGAUUGCAUUGCGAAGAACAAAGUGCAAGUGAAGUAUGUGAAGACCCAUGAUCAAGUUGCAGAUAUUUUUAUGAAGCCUCUCAAGUAUGACACUUUUUGCAAGUUGAGGAUGAUGCUUGGAGUUACGAAGAAUCAAGUUUAAAGGAGGGUGUUGCGAAAAUAAACUUAAUUCAAUGAAUGUCUUUUGGGAGGUUCAUGAAUGUGUGAAGGGUCACUUUGAAAGUGGUGAUUCAUGUAUGGGUGAGUUCAUGAAUUUGGGUUUCCUAUGUAUUUAAGUAUUCAUGUAUUUGGCUAGUUCAUGUAUUUGGGUUUUCUAUGUGCAUUUAAGCGGUUCAUGUAUUGGGUUUAUACAUGCACCUAGGAGUUCUAUAAAUACUAUGUAAGUCUUGUGGUUUUAGAAAGAGGCAAGAGCCAAAGUGAAUAGAAAAAUUUUGAAGUAUUUCACCUCUUCAUCAUUUCCUCACUAGAGAAAUCUCUCUUCCUAUAUUCCAACAAAAAUAUAGUCCUGUUAGCAUAAUAAAAGCCAGUAGUCUCCUUCUAGUACAUGAAUUGGUUCGGCCACCAUGCAGAGUCCCAUGCCCUAAUCAUACAGUAGAUAUUCGAAAUCCAGCAUCAGGUAAAAGGUGUAAAUGAAGCCGUGGGGCAGAAAAAUGGAAAGAAAUAUUGAUCUAAACUAUAAAAAGCACAUUUAAAUUUAAUCCAAAACCCAAAAUUGAAGUCCUACAAAAUCUUCUAAAGGUGGGAAUAAACAAAUAAAUGCAUAAAAUAAAAUAUUUUAAUUUCUUGUAUUUAAUAAACAAGAAACCUAGGACAUGACAAGUUUGUAGGGCAAAGGCUAUUAGCAUGGGAACAUGUGGUGAAGUCAUGAUAAGGGAAGAUUGCAAGGUUUUCCUCCUUGCCAACAUAACUUGGGUCUGCAUUGGUCUUUGUGAUAUUUUUAGAUAUCUAUAAAAAUUGGCAAGCUUUAGAUAUUAAAAUGGGCAAGAAAUCCAACACUCCCAGAUGGUCAGACAAUAUAAGGAGUUGAAGUUAAGAUGAUGGAGGUUCUUCGCCAUACUCCUGAAGGACAGUAUUUAAAGGCAGAUUAGCAUAUGAUGAUGUUGAAAUAAGUCAUAAAGGCGGAGACAAAAGAUACAACAAAGAAAUGAAAACAAAAGUCUGGCCAUUAGGUGGAGUGUGAAGUCUAUAAGUCAAAGAUCUCCCAGAGUGCUGAAAGAUGUAGGACAAAUAAAACAAAGGAAGGCGACAACCAAAUUGUUUAAUCUUGAAAAAAAAAUGGAGAUGAGAAAUGAAUUAAAUUUAUCUACAUGAACCUUGUAAUACCUAAGAUAAUAAGUCAGCUAAUAAUCAACAAGACAAUGGCUUGAAGAAGUAGGUCAUGUACGAUUCUACAUUCAACAUGAAAGCACCAAAAAGAGGUUUGAGUGAUUUGCUUGCUAUAUCCUUAGAGUAUUAUUUGUGAAUCAUUAAAUGAGCACACUUAAUAAUGUGAUAUUCACAUUUUAUGUAAUACAGAUUAUGUAAACCAAAUAUGUGUGGCCACAAAUGACCUGAUUUCACUUGAAACACUGAAUCAUUCAUUAGGGUUAGCAACUUUUGGUAGUUCUAGCUAGAACAACAGAAUGUCUAAGCAUUUCCGAUUUUCAUGUUUGAAAUAGGACAAGUACCAACCAUAGAAUGUACCAGCUGGUUGUAAUUUAAGGUUCAAAAAUUGAUUGGUCAUCGUUGUGGAUACAAUUGCAAGUUGUCUAAGCUUCUUAGCAAUGAUGUACUGCCCACAAUAAUGAAAAUUGACGUAUCGUGUUAAGUAUUUUGACAAAUUUGUGGCCACACUUGUCUUGUUAAUGAUAUUAUACAAUAAUAUGAAGCUUUACCUAUAUGCAUACAGGAGAGAAGAUGAAUAGACAUCAAAUUAGGGUAUUUCUUUAUGCAAGCUAGGUAGGUCCAUUGUGGGUCAAUGGCACAAUCAAUUGUCAUGCAUGCAUCAGGCAAGAAUGACAAUGUAAUGGGUCAAGCAUGAUAUGUGUUAAAGUCCAUACGCUAGUGCUGACCCUACAUAAGUUGAUUGAACCCUUUGUACCUGUAGCAUUGAAUAUGUGCGGGUCAUGUAAACACAGGAGUGUCUAACCAUAUUAAUGCAUAAACCUCAUGCACAUUCCUUCAAAUAAGAGACUCUUCAUGUGCAAAUAUUUUGGUACUUAUUAAAGAAUGAGAUAGGAACAAAUCUAAUAACAAUCAUUUGAGGGCAUGAGAACGAGAUAGGAUCAAAUCUGAUGACAAUCAUUUGAGGGGCUGAACCAUUAUUGCAGUUGGUAAUUAAUCAUGAAUGGGAUAGAGUCAAAUCUAGUGGCAAAUGAAUAGUCACUAUAUUUGAUAGCUAUUUAAAAAUGAGGUAGGAACCCCAACAAUUUUUAGUAAUGAUAAUUUGAGAAUGAGAAACUAUGAGAAUUAAAUCUAAUAGCAGUCAUUUGGGGGAUGAACUCUAGAUAUUUUGGUAAAAGAUUAUUAAUAAAAUAGGACGAAAUCAAAUUAGAAAGGUUUUGGAUAUACUUCUUGAACAAGUGCAUUGAAUAACAUAUCCAAGUUGAUUAUAUUUUGAAGGGGAUAUAGGAAAGGCUCACAAACACAAGAUAAAUUGAUAAAUACGUUCCAACCAUGCCUAUCCGAGAAAAUGACGGUGGAUGAUUGCAUGUUCAGCUUUUGGAUGGAGAUACCAUUGAUAAAAAUAAAUUUUAAUAAAAUAGAUCUUAGAUCAUACCUUGAGUCAUUGAAUCCAUGAUGAACUUGAAGUUUGAUCUACAAUAGCAAUUAUCUUCAAUAUAAUAAGAGAUUAGCAGAAGAUUCUUCUGGAGAGAGAGCUCUAUAUGCAUGUGUUUAAAAAAGAGGUCCCCACAGGCUAUUUAAAGCUUUCUCUAGAGACCAACUGCCACAGGUCGUUACACCCGUGAAAAGUCACCCCCCAUCAAGAUAACUCUUCACCAAUGUGAAAUUCCGUUUAUGCCCUCGUGAUUAUCAAAAUUUACAAAAUUCAAGAGACACUUGUCAAUGUGGGCUUUAACUAGACGGGAUCCAACAUUCUCCUAUUUGGACCAUAUUGACGCCACUUAUCAAUUUGGGCCACAACUUGACGGGAUCCCAACAGUUCAUGCUUGCAACAGCAUUGGCUGCUCAUGGUGAUCUUGAUGUUCAUUUUGCAAAAUUCAUAAAGACCAACUAUUGUUUGAGUUCCGGAGUUUGAUCCAGUAUGCCUUUUGGGCAUUGCCCUGAAAAAGGAGCUUCCUUCCAACUGGUUGAAGACAACUCAAUGCGGCCCCCAGUCAGGUCAUGAUUGAGUACCCAUGUUGGGUUAUGCAUGAAUGGCCAAAUGGUUUUCUACCUAGCCACAAAAGUUUAUGGCAAUGGUUCUGUACAAGAAAACCGGAAGAGUGGGGGGAGCGUGGACUGAUAGCCCAAAACUCCUUCGAGUGCCCGAGAGUUGUUCAAUGAAAAUGCUUCGGGGCGACUGUGAAUUGAACACGAAAGAAGUUCAUCAGCCCUACAUUUGCUGACUUGGCAACUCCACAAUCAACCAACCUGCUGUGUUUGGCAACAAAUCCAUGAGCUGCACCAACCCCCUCUUGCCACCUGGUAAGAGGACUGCCUGUGUCCACUUUAAUUCUUACCAAGUUGUCUGUUGUAUCGAGUGUUGACAAUGUGGCUUUCCAUGAAUAUUGCAUUUCAAAGUUCUUGAGUGGAAGGUCCAUA